CAUGCAAAUUGAAUUUAUUUCCAUAGGAGUCGUAGCGAAAGCGAGUCGGGCAAUAGUUACUGCUUAUGAACUCGAAUUUGGGUGAUCUAUCCAUGACCAGGAUGAAGAUUGGGUGAAAUUAAGUGGAGGUCCAAACCGACUAAUGUUGAAGAAUUAGCGGAUGAAUUAUGAUUAGGGGUGAAAUACCACUCAAGCCCAGAGCUAACUAG
rnacentral:ncRNA from 1 species